rnacentral:rRNA from 1 species
GACGAACGCUGGCGGCGUGCUUAACACAUGCAAGUCGAACGGAAAGGCCCUGGUUUCAUGGUACUCGAGUGUCGAACGGGGGAGUAACACGUGUGGGAGCUGCGCUCCACUUCUCGGUAAACCCCGGGAACUGUGUGUAAUACCGCAUAGAAGCCAGCACUAGUGUGGUGGGUGGAAAGUUUUUUCGGUGUAGGAUGAGCUCGCGGCCUAUCAGCUUGUUGGUGGGGUAAUGGCCUACCAAGGCGGCGACGGGUAGCCGGCCUGAGAGGGUGGACGGCCACAUUGGGACUGAGACACGGCCCAGACUCCUACGGGAGGCAGCAGUGGGGAAUAUUGCACAAUGGGCGGAAGCCUGAUGCAGCGACGCCGCGUGGGGGAUGACGGCCUUCGGGUUGUAAACUCCUUUCGCCAGGGACGAAGCUUUUGUGACGGUACCUAGAUAAGAAGCACCGGCUAACUACGUG